rnacentral:rRNA from 1 species
UACGUAGGGUGCAAGCGUUGCCCGGAAUUAUUGGGCGUAAAGGGCGCGUAGGCGGCCAUGCGUGUCUUCCGUGAAAUCCCUCGGCUUAACUGAGGACGUGCGGAAGAAACUGCAAGGCUCGAGUCCGGGAGAGGGGGGGUGGAAUUCCCAGUGUAGCGGUGAAAUGCGUAGAUAUUGGGAGGAACACCGGUGGCGAAGGCGGCCCCCUGGACCGGUACUGACGCUGAGGCGCGAAAGCGUGGGUAGCAAACGGG